rnacentral:piRNA from 1 species
UACCUAAAUCAAAUUGAACUUUGCUUCCGGG